GGGUUUGUAGAGGGGAACAAGCCUUCUGCUGGGUCUAUUAGCUCAAUAGCCGAUGACAAACUCUCUAAAUUCUCCAAAAACCGCUUUCGAGCCCGCGCCCCGGGUUCAAAUCCCGGCCGGGGCACCA
rnacentral:tRNA from 1 species